UGAAGCUUGCUCUUCAGACUCUCCUCUUUCCCUGUUUAAGAGCUAAAUGCCCAAGUGAUGACAGCUGAGAUAACUUUAAAAUUUAAUGGCUGUAACUAGCCUGUUGAACAGGGCAGGGUUUCUUUCCCUUUCUUGUGUAACCUCUUUGAUCUUGUCUCUGGGGGUGGCAUUCAAUCAUCACCCUACAUCUAUUGCUUCCUGUUGGGGUGUUGUAAUUCCAAGCUCCUAUUCUAAAAGGGCCUGUGCUCUCAGAAAAUUAUGGGGUUCUGAGUCAAUUAUCCACUUGUAUGGCUUCUAGCUUCCUCCCAUAUCCCACUUUCCUUAGGGUAAUGAAUAGGCAAGACCAAAUAUAGGCUCUUCCAUCCUUUGACCAAACCUCUCACCACCAGCCUGUAUGGGGCAGGAUGGCGUUACAGUAUCCACAACCUUUCCUCAGGAUCAUAACUUCAUUACGGUAUCCGCACUCUUUCCUCAGGAUCAGAACGGCAUUACGGUAUCGCACCCUUUCCUCAAGAUCAGGAUGGUGUUAACAGUACCCGCACCCUUUCCUCAGGAUCAGAAUGGCAUUACAGUAUCCGCACCCUUUCCUCGGGAUCAGGAUGGCGUUACAGUAUCCGCACCCUUCCCUCAGGAUCAGAACGGCAUUACAGUAUCCACAACCUUUACUCAGGAUCAGAAUGGCAUUAUGGUAUCCGCACCCUUUCCUCGGGAUCAUACAUGGUCUAGUUCUUGAGCUUACACUGUGGCAGGGAGCCAGACAUUGAGUUUCCUUGGGGACUGACAAGAAUGCAAGCGCCCUCUAAUCCGUGUAUGGAGGCCUUCAGAAGACCUGGUGUGUUGGGGCAUCCCGUCAAAUCCACCAGGUGUCUCUGGAGAACUGAGCACAGCUUACAGGAGGAUGAGACACACUGGUGCUGUUUCUCUAGGAACUAUGUUCCAUGAUAACUUUCCCAAGACUGGGAAACAAGUCUCUGUUAUGGGCCUCUCUGAGACUAUAUCCUAUACACCUCGGAAGGCCUCUCCCAUGAGGCUCUAAAAAUGUCCUGCACUAACGGCUCUGGUCUUUUCCCAGACACCCAAACAGAUUAAAAGAACAAAUGAUAGACUUAUUUUUCUUGAUCCCGUGUUGGAAGGAAUGUCUUGCUAACUGGCAGACACAGUCUGUAUUCUCAGGAGGGAAAUGUCUACUAAAUGAGUAGAAAGGACACAGUAACCGAAAACCAAGUGAAGUAACCCGAACAGUGGGGAUGUCUCCAGCAGAGCCAAGGAGGAGUUCUCAGAAUGGGGAGAGCUGAGUGAAUCUCCACCAUCAGGGAAGCGCGGGGAGGAGGCAGUGUAUGGCAGAGCCAGCAGGGACUGCCCCAGACUUGGAGCUGAGGCACCAUUGUUGAGGCCCAGAGCCAUCCAGAUCAUGUGACACUUGGUUCUUCUGACGCUGUAGUGCCCAGAGGCUGAGGCCGGGACCCUUGACCUCUGAACAGCAGUGAGAAUCCAGAUAGCCCCUCGGUUCCUAGUGCCCACGACUGUGUGAGCAUCAUUGGGGAAAGCAGGCGGAGGUAAAGGAAGAAAGGGGUAAAGAAGGAAGAGAGGGAGGGGCUGCGGAGGAAGGCAUGCACGUGAGGAGAGAGCACAAAGGAACGUGUUCCCCGCUCCUGUGAGCCAUUCUGCUUGUCCUCUGCAUGCUGCAGUAAGUUUGAACAUUCUGUCUCCAGUCUCACAGCAUUUGCAUAGGUUCUUCUACCCCUAGAGAACACUCUCAGUUGCUCACUGCCAGACCAGUUUCUGCUCAGCUGAGACCUCGUGGACUCUUUAAACUAGGGUCUCAGCGUGAGUUGCACAGCUCCAGUUCUUCCCACUUGUUUUAUUAUCAGUAUAGUCAAGGGGUCUUCAUUUCCUAUUGCACAGCUGCAUUGUAUUCCUGCCGCUGAUGCAUCCAUCAUCUCUUCCGGCUGCUCAGGAAUAACCAGAGGUGGAACCGGAAAGCCCUUCAGGAUGCUCUUGCACUUUUAGCAUUGAGAUCUCAGAAGAGUAGAACACAGCGGAUGCUGAAACGUAAAACAUUUGAUCAUGAAAUGCCUGGGAAGCACCGCCUUCGGCACAGUGAUGUGAGUGGCACCCUAAGGAUGCUCAAUGCCCAACCAUUCCCAUCUUGAUUUCAUCUCCACUCUAAUUCAUCUAAGUAACAGCUGGCAUCUGAGUGGGGUCUGGAUUGGAAUCAAAUGUCAUACAGAAAAGGAAGGCAUCCUCUUCAAGCACAGUUCCCCAUGGCUGCACAACCACAGAAGAUCCCAGGAUCUCAGGUGCAGCUUCUUAUCAACAUCCUGCUGCUGUAACAUCUUGUCUAACAUCUGGACCAGAAAGAAAAAGAUGACUUUCUCUGGUUCCUUUCUUCUUGCGGUAUGUCCACUGCCUGGCAGAUGCCUUCUCCCAUACACAAUAAUCAUUUAAAAAUUUCA